AUGUCCCGGCGCGGCCCAGAAUCCGCCAGAGGAGAAGCGCAGAGGCCAUGCACGCGGGGAGAGGCUGCGGAGGCUCUUCGGUCGCCAGGGAGACCCCUCCGCCCGCGCGGACCCAGACCAGGCACGAGGGGACACCCCCAGAGACCCACCAGUCCCGGCUCUGCACGUCGAGGCGGGGGGGGGAGCUUCAGAGCUCGCUGGGCUCCCCGAACGUCCCGCCUUAGAAACGCCUGUCACCUCCCAACCGGUCACCAGGACAGGGGCCGCUGCCGUCACCCUCAGCGCCUUGGACCUUCAGGGCCCCCGGCUGCCCUGGGCUGGCGGCCACACUUCCUACAGCCCCUGGGACGCUGUCACUCCCCGUCCAAACCUCUCCCGCCACCCCGUCGCGCGUGGGGGGAGAGACUCGACCUGGCCCGGCUGCCCCCCGUCCCCGCUCUGCGCUGGGACGCCCCGAGCCCCGGUCAAUCCAGGGUCUCCGGCGGGAGCACGUCAGGGACCCACACUGGCCCUCGUCUGCCCGCGUCUGGAGUGUCACCGCCCCUUCUCAACAGUACGAUGCAGGCGACACGCAGCGUCCGAAGAGCUGGCAUUUACGCUGCGCUCGGGCUUCUGGGCCACACACGUCAUCUUGAAGGCCCCCCGCCCCAGGAUGGGUCCUGUGUCCCCCGCGCCUGCUGGGAUUCCCGGGCCGGCUUGUUGGAACCCCUGGGAGGGUGUGCCGUCAGGGCUCAGGGCACACGGGUCUCAUUCCCGCCGUGGGGCUGGUACAUCCGUGGGUCUCUGCCCCAACCUCACCCAAGCGCCUCCGUUUCAAGAUCCUGCCCUUUCCCCACGGCUCCCGCGCAGAGGGAGGGACCCAGCCAGACCCGUUCAGUCCCUGCAGAGGGGAGGGCGGGCGGUCUGGGGCCACUGCCUCCCACCUCUUGCUGGGCCUUCAAGCUGAUGAGAAGCGUCUUUUUCCGCGUUUCUGGAGACACCAGAGCUGAGCGUGGCUCCGGAGGAGGAAUAACGGCCUGUCCUGGGGGCGCGGGAGGGGAGCACUGGCGUCCACAGCUUCCUCCGGCCCAAGGGCCUGAGGUCUAG
rnacentral:lncRNA from 1 species